CCAAACAAAAAAAAAAAUUGUUCAUCAGCUGUCUCUGGGUCAUGACUGGAAAGUUCAUAACCAAACAUGGUGCAAAUCGAAUUGUCUGCAGAACAUAAAGUGAUUCAGACUUCUGGGCUCACCUGGAAGCUCCCAUCGCCAAUGCAAGCUAUGACUCGCUUAUCUGGUAAUUUCAGCUUCAGGCAGUUGAACCAGGAAUCCCCAGUUUCUGCAAUCACUGCUGUGUCGUGCGCAAGCAUCUUCUGUAUGUAUUGGAAAAGAAUGUUCACG